ACUAUACAUCUACUACUAGUCACUGUAUUUUCAUAACUAAAGUAAGGUGUUAAUGGGCAGUAUGCUGAUUCCUUCAGACUCACUUGGGAUUUGAACUCAUAACCUCUUGGGUCCCAGCUACUUGAAGUUCCUGCUGCACCACCAGGUUUGUGGACACAACAGAGAUAGGAUCUGAUCUCAUACCCUCACGUCCCCGACUCUACCUACUAAGCUACUCAUCAGCUGAAACUGCAUGUACAAGAUCCCAACUACAGUGCCUUCGAAAAACGAAACCCUCAGGCUUUCCGUUAGGAAAAUAUGGUGCCG